AAACCAGCACCUCAAGUGGUCAGGAUGAUUAUUGGGCCUAAAGCAUCCGUAGCCGGCUCUGUUAGUUUUCGGUUAAAUCUGUACGCUUAACGUACAGGCUGCUGGGAAUACUGCAGAGAUAGGGAGUGGGAGAGGUAGACGGUACUCGGGAGGAAGUGGUAAAAUGCUUUGAUCUCUCGAUGACCACCUGUGGCGAAGGCGGUCUACCAGAACACGUCCGACGGUGAGGGAUGAAAGCUGGGGGAGCAAACCGGAUUAGAAACCCCAGUAGUCC
rnacentral:rRNA from 1 species